CCACCCACCCCUGCAUCCCUGCAUCCGUCUGUCCGUCGGGCAGUGUGGCUCCGUCCGCGGCCCCUGGGGCCGACGCCGGGUCUGAUCCCACUGAACAAACACCUCCAGGCUCCACGGGGUCAGGGCCAGAGACCCGGAGGGUGGGCUGCGCCCCCCUGAACUCGGAGAGCCCCGCUCUGGACCCGGGAAGCCACCGGUCUCGGGGGCGGGGACACUGGAGGUCUCAGGGAGGAGUCGUGAGGGAGAGGAAGACCGAGUCGCGUCCCGGCCUGCACCCCCCACACCUGCCACGACUCUCCGAUCUUCCCCACUUAGCGUCCUGCCCCUUACGGACAGACAGACGGAAGACGGGCGUGUGAGUGGACGGACAGACGACUUGGAAGGAUGGCUGCGGAUGGAAAGGCAAGAGGGAAGCCAGGCCGGCGGAUGGGAAGAUGGACAGAGAGAGGGCUGCUCCCUGGCCGGCCGCUGACGGGACAGAUAGGGAAAUGACGCGCAGGUGCGCCGAUGGUCAGAGAAAUGCACGAGCACACGGCCAGACGCACGGAAGGGGGAUGCGGCAGGUAGGACAGAGCCCCCCAGAGAUGUCCAGGGGCUCAUCCCUGGAACCUGUGACUGCCACCUUCCGUGGUCAAAGGGACAUUGAAGAAGUGGAUAAGUGAAGCCAGAGAGGGGGAGAUUACCGGGGUCCUGUGGCUGCCCCCCCUGCGCACCCCCCCCCCGCGAUGCCAUCACAGGCGUCGGGGCGGGGGAGCGAAGCCGGCAGCCCACCACGUCGGGGGAGCGCUCUUGCGACCCUGAGCCGGGCAGCUGACCUCCAGCUGAGGAUGCCAGAGGCUUCUAGAAGCUGGAAAAAGCAAGGAAACCGAUUCUCCCCCAGAACCUCCACGAGGAACCCUGGUCACGCCUUGAGUUUAGCCCGUGAGACCCAUCUCUGACCCACAGGGCCGUAAGACGGUACGUUGUGCUGUUUGAAGCCACUAAGUCCACGGUGAUUUAGUACGACGGCGAUAGGACACAGCACAGAUGGGCGGAGGGACGUGGGACGGACAGACGUCCAACCAGGGCCUCUGCACCUGGGAAGGCGUCCUGGCGGGUGGGGACGUCAGAGACCCCCGGCAGCCGAGCCAACACCACAGGCCCUGCGAGCCUCCUUCCGCCCACCUCGACGCAGCACACGGUUCGCGCACGCCUGCAUGCACGCGCUUACCCACACCACGCGGACGAGGGGCUCCACCCGGCUCGGCCGGCCUCGAACUGCCGACCUCGGCCAGGUCCCUGCCCCCCCCCCCCCCCAUGGGCUGCGGGAGCUUGGGCCUUUGGAGGUGGGGUGGGGAUGGGGACAACGGGUCAUCGCGGGGAAGGGGAGCCAGGGCCGGGUGUGAGGGGGCGUCCGCCCUGGCCCUCACUCAUGUUUCUGACCACGAGGCUUCCUCCCCCGCGCCCCUCUGGGGAGGGACUGUAAUUAACUUCUUCCUGUUCAGAUCAGGAGUCUGUUUCCAAAAACAUAUUUCGAAGGAUUAUUUUGCAAA